GUUUGUUACAAACACUCUGACUUUUCUCUGUACGGAGAGGAACUGCUCGGGACACUUUGGGGGCUUUAUUUUUGCGGGAUUUUCUAGGGCAGUUUUUAUCACUUUGGUGACGGGGCCGGUGACUUCUCUGGCUCUGGAACCGGAGCAUCUCUCCAGCCCGUGAUACCUCUACUCCAUUACGCGCGUAACAGAGGCGGCCGUUGAGUAAAGAUGCUUUAAGUGAGCGUUCAAAGGUGAAGAAGCGGCGCGGGACUUGAGUUUGCGCACCGCAUGAGUGCGACCAUGCAAAGGCAGCAGGAUAGAGAGCAUACAAAUCUGAGGGUGCUGCUUCUCUGCCUCUUCCUCGCCGCCCUCGCCUGGACAGUGCAGGCUGUAAGUUUU